UACAGAGGGGGCAAGCGUUGUUCGGAAUUACUGGGCGUAAAGGGCGCGUAGGCGGCCUGUUAAGUCGAACGUGAAAUCCCCGGGCUCAACCCGGGAACUGCGUCCGAUACUGGCAGGCUUGAAUCCGGGAGAAGGAUGCGGAAUUCCAGGUGUAGCGGUGAAAUGCGUAGAUAUCUGGAGGAACACCGGUGGCGAAGGCGGCAUCCUGGACCGGCAUUGACGCUGAGGCGCGAAAGCCAGGGGAGCAAAGCGGG
rnacentral:rRNA from 1 species